rnacentral:rRNA from 1 species
AUUGAACGCUAGCGGCAGGCUUAACACAUGCAAGUCGAGGGGUAUAGUUCUUCGGAGCUAGAGACCGGCGCACGGGUGCGUAACGCGUAUGCAAUCUACCUUUUGCAGAGGGAUAGCCCAGAGAAAUUUGGAUUAAUACCUCAUGGUAUGUGAGAAUGGCAUCAUUUUCACAUUAAAGUCACAACGGCAAAAGAUGAGCAUGCGUCCCAUUAGCUAGUUGGUAAGGUAACGGCUUACCAAGGCAACGAUGGGUAGGGGUCCUGAGAGGGAGAUCCCCCACACUGGUACUGAGACACGGACCAGACUCCUACAGGAGGCAGCAGUGAGGAAUAUUGGACAAUGGGCGCAAGCCUGAUCCAGCCAUGCCGCGUGCAGGAUGACGGUCCUAUGGAUUGUAAACUGCCUUUGUACAGGAAGAAACACUGGUUCGUGAACCAGCUUGACGGUACUGUAAGAAUAAGGAUCGGCUAACUCCGUGCCAGCAGCCGCGGUAAAAC